rnacentral:rRNA from 1 species
AUGCUAUUCUUAAUAAACUUGUUGAGUAUCACUAAUUUGCUAUCACAAGCUUUGCAAAGAAAGAAACAAGAUGUUCUUGAAGCCUUGCGUUUGAUCUUGGAUGUGAAAGAAGCUUUGCAAAAUAUGAGGGAUAAUGGGUAUGAGUCAUUAUGCGACCAAGCAAAAAACUUCUGUGAGGAACAUGGCAUUGAGGUGCCAAACAUGGAUGAUCUUGUUGGAGCUAUGGGGCAAUCUGUUCGCAGCAAGAAUAAGGUGACUCGACAUCAUUAUUUCAAGGUUAGCAUAUUCAAUGUUGCUCUUGAUGCAACUCUCACCGAGAUGAAUCAUCGAUUCAAUGAAGUUAACACCGAGUUAGUGGAUUGCAUGUCUUGCCUUACUCCAACCAACAACUUUUCAAAGUUUAAUGUUGACAAACUUAUUCGACUUGCUGAAAUUUAUGCCGAGGAUUUUACACAAUCUGAACGGCUGUUGCUAAGAACUCAACUUCCAACAUUUCUUACAAAUAUUAGGAGAAGUGAUGAAUUCAAUGGAUGUUCGGAUGUUUCUACCCUUGCUCGGUUGAUGGUUCAAACAACAAAACAUAGAACUUUCCAAUUGGUAUAUCGCCUCAUCGAGUUGACGUUGAUUCUUCCAGUGGCAACUUCCUCGGUCGAGCGAUUUUUUUCAGCAAUGAAGAUCAUUAAAACUGAUUUACGCAAUAAGAUAUCGGAUGAUUGGCUCAAUGAUUUAAUGGUGUGCUAUUGCGAGAAAAGGAUAUUUAAAAGUAUUCCCGAUGAUCAAAUUAUGAUACGAUUCCAGAAAAUGAAAGAUCGCAAUGGACAUUUGCCUCGUGAGUACAAUGUGAUUUCUUAG